CGGCGGGCGACGCGCCGCGACCCGCCGGCCGAGGACGUCGUCUCCGAAAAGCAGCCACCCUGGGUGCUUCCAAGCUGAUUCAGGUCAGCUAACGUGACACCCUGGGUUAGAGGCAGCGUCACGUCAUCAGAACUCAAUGCACGGCCACAGAGCCGGCAGCGCCGCACAGUGGUCGCUUGGCAACGCGGCGGGGCUCAACCAUGGGCACAUUGCGCAGAAUUGAGGGGUAAAGUUAAUCAUAAACCCCAUCUUGAAAAUUUUCUGCAAAGGGCAUUUUGGAUUUGAUAAGUAAAGUUCAGAAACCAGGAUCACUAAUAAAUUUUGUAUGAG